rnacentral:rRNA from 1 species
UUAAGCGACUAAGCGUACACGGUGGAUGCCCUGGCAGUCAGAGGCGAUGAAGGACGUGCUAAUCUGCGAUAAGCGUCGGUAAGGUGAUAUGAACCGUUAUAACCGGCGAUUUCCGAAUGGGGAAACCCAGUGUGAUUCGUCACACUAUCAUUAACUGAAUCCAUAGGUUAAUGAGGCGAACCGGGGGAACUGAAACAUCUAAGUACCCCGAGGAAAAGAAAUCAACCGAGAUUCCCCCAGUAGCGGCGAGCGAACGGGGAGCAGCCCAGAGCCUGAAUCAGUGUGUGUGUUAGUGGAAGCGUCUGGAAAGGCGUGCGAUACAGGGUGACAGCCCCGUACACAAAAAUGCACAUAUUGUGAGCUCGAUGAGUAGGGCGGGACACGUGGUAUCCUGUCUGAAUAUGGGGGGACCAUCCUCCAAGGCUAAAUACUCCUGACUGACCGAUAGUGAACCAGUACCGUGAGGGAAAGGCGAAAAGAACCCCGGCGAGGGGAGUGAAAAAGAACCUGAAACCGUGUACGUACAAGCAGUGGGAGCACGCUUAGGCGUGUGACUGCGUACCUUUUGUAUAAUGGGUCAGCGACUUAUAUUCUGUAGCAAGGUUAACCGAAUAGGGGAGCCGAAGGGAAACCGAGUCUUAACUGGGCGUUAAGUUGCAGGGUAUAGACCCGAAACCCGGUGAUCUAGCCAUGGGCAGGUUGAAGGUUGGGUAACACUAACUGGAGGACCGAACCGACUAAUGUUGAAAAAUUAGCGGAUGACUUGUGGCUGGGGGUGAAAGGCCAAUCAAACCGGGAGAUAGCUGGUUCUCCCCGAAAGCUAUUUAGGUAGCGCCUCGUGAAUUCAUCUCCGGGGGUAGAGCACUGUUUCGGCAAGGGGGUCAUCCCGACUUACCAACCCGAUGCAAACUGCGAAUACCGGAGAAUGUUAUCACGGGAGACACACGGCGGGUGCUAACGUCCGUCGUGAAGAGGGAAACAACCCAGACCGCCAGCUAAGGUCCCAAAGUCAUGGUUAAGUGGGAAACGAUGUGGGAAGGCCCAGACAGCCAGGAUGUUGGCUUAGAAGCAGCCAUCAUUUAAAGAAAGCGUAAUAGCUCACUGGUCGAGUCGGCCUGCGCGGAAGAUGUAACGGGGCUAAACCAUGCACCGAAGCUGCGGCAGCGACACUAUGUGUUGUUGGGUAGGGGAGCGUUCUGUAAGCCUGUGAAGGUGUACUGUGAGGUAUGCUGGAGGUAUCAGAAGUGCGAAUGCUGACAUAAGUAACGAUAAAGCGGGUGAAAAGCCCGCUCGCCGGAAGACCAAGGGUUCCUGUCCAACGUUAAUCGGGCAGGGUGAGUCGACUCCUAAGGCGAGGCCGAAAGGCGUAGUCGAUGGGAAACAGGUUAAUAUUCCUGUACUUGGUGUUACUGCGAAGGGGGACGGAGAAGGCUAUGUUGGCCGGGCGACGGUUGUCCCGGUUUAAGCGUGUAGGCUGGUUUUCCAGGCAAAUCCGGAAAACUAAGGCUGAGGCGUGAUGACGAGGCACUACGGUGCUGAAGCAACAAAUGCCCUGCUUCCAGGAAAAGCCUCUAAGCAUCAGGUAACAUCAAAUCGUACCCCAAACCGACACAGGUGGUCAGGUAGAGAAUACCAAGGCGCUUGAGAGAACUCGGGUGAAGGAACUAGGCAAAAUGGUGCCGUAACUUCGGGAGAAGGCACGCUGAUAUGUAGGUGAAGUCCCUCGCGGAUGGAGCUGAAAUCAGUCGAAGAUACCAGCUGGCUGCAACUGUUUAUUAAAAACACAGCACUGUGCAAACACGAAAGUGGACGUAUACGGUGUGACGCCUGCCCGGUGCCGGAAGGUUAAUUGAUGGGGUCAGCGCAAGCGAAGCUCUUGAUCGAAGCCCCGGUAAACGGCGGCCGUAACUAUAACGGUCCUAAGGUAGCGAAAUUCCUUGUCGGGUAAGUUCCGACCUGCACGAAUGGCGUAAUGAUGGCCAGGCUGUCUCCACCCGAGACUCAGUGAAAUUGAACUCGCUGUGAAGAUGCAGUGUACCCGCGGCAAGACGGAAAGACCCCGUGAACCUUUACUAUAGCUUGACACUGAACAUUGAGCCUUGAUGUGUAGGAUAGGUGGGAGGCUUUGAAGUGUGGACGCCAGUCUGCAUGGAGCCGACCUUGAAAUACCACCCUUUAAUGUUUGAUGUUCUAACGUUGACCCGUAAUCCGGGUUGCGGACAGUGUCUGGUGGGUAGUUUGACUGGGGCGGUCUCCUCCUAAAGAGUAACGGAGGAGCACGAAGGUUGGCUAAUCCUGGUCGGACAUCAGGAGGUUAGUGCAAUGGCAUAAGCCAGCUUGACUGCGAGCGUGACGGCGCGAGCAGGUGCGAAAGCAGGUCAUAGUGAUCCGGUGGUUCUGAAUGGAAGGGCCAUCGCUCAACGGAUAAAAGGUACUCCGGGGAUAACAGGCUGAUACCGCCCAAGAGUUCAUAUCGACGGCGGUGUUUGGCACCUCGAUGUCGGCUCAUCACAUCCUGGGGCUGAAGUAGGUCCCAAGGGUAUGGCUGUUCGCCAUUUAAAGUGGUACGCGAGCUGGGUUUAGAACGUCGUGAGACAGUUCGGUCCCUAUCUGCCGUGGGCGCUGGAGAACUGAGGGGGGCUGCUCCUAGUACGAGAGGACCGGAGUGGACGCAUCACUGGUGUUCGGGUUGUCAUGCCAAUGGCACUGCCCGGUAGCUAAAUGCGGAAGAGAUAAGUGCUGAAAGCAUCUAAGCACGAAACUUGCCCCGAGAUGAGUUCUCCCUGACUCCUUGAGAGUCCUGAAGGAACGUUGAAGACGACGACGUUGAUAGGUCGGGUGUGUAAGCGCAGCGAUGCGUUGAGCUAACCGGUACUAAUGAACCGUGAGGCUUAACCUU